rnacentral:rRNA from 1 species
UACGUAGGGAGCAAGCGUUGUCCGGAAUCAUUGGGCGUAAAGCGCGCGUAGGUGGCUUCGUAAGUCCGUUGUGAAAGUCAAAGGCUCAACCUUUGAAAGCCGAUGGAUACUGUGGAGCUAGAGUACGGAAGAGGCGAGUGGAAUUCCUGGUGUAGCGGUGAAAUGCGCAGAUAUCAGGAGGAACACCAAUAGCGAAGGCAGCUCGCUGGGACGUUACUGACACUGAGGCGCGAAAGCGUGGGGAGCGAACAGG